rnacentral:rRNA from 1 species
AAGUGCGGAUGACAUUG